CAGAGCAUAGCUAAGGCAGAAAAGCGCCUCCCUUACACUGAGAAGUCGCCCGUGCAAAUCGGGCUGCCCUGA
rnacentral:tRNA from 1 species